ACCUCUUGAUUUGGAGGAAGAAUCACGUUCUUCUCAAGUCAUUAAGCAAGUAAAUGAGACGGAUUCCUCGUCUCUUGGAGACAGCAUGGUAAUAAAGGAGGACGAAACAAUUGUGGAGUUACGUGGAUUUGAAAGUUGCAAUUCUAUUAACUUGGAAAGAGGAGAGAAACGAGCACUAGAGCAUGACGAUGAUUGUAUAGGGAGAACUAAGAAACCUAGAGAAUUGGUUUCAUCUAUGUGUUCUCUGUCAGAUGCUAUUCUGUACCAUUCUAGUUCCAUGGAAGACUGGUCGAAUUCACAGGAACCAGGGACUUCGCAUGGCGAGGGAGUGCUAUUGUCAUUAGAUGAGAAGAAGUUGGUUGACAUUCCUCUGGUUACCAAGAGUGAUGUGGAGUCAGGCACUGACUUUACAGGAAAACAACUUUUUCCAGGCUCCUUGAAAACUUGUGACCUCAAUCUUUUGGAAGCUUCUGUUGUGAAUGAGACUCAAAAUGCUGAUCCUGUUAAUAUCUUCCCAGGG
rnacentral:misc_RNA from 1 species